AGUCUUUGAAGUAAUGUGUUCAAGUCUCUUCACCAAUAACUUUUCAACUUUAUCUUACACCUUUUUUGGAUCUAUGUUAUACUUUAUAUUGAUUAAGAAAUGUCAAGAUGUGAAGAACAACAAGAUCUCAACAACAAUUUCUCAAGAACACCACCAACAUUCACCUUCAAGUCCACAACAAUUGCAAUACAUGGCCAAGAUCAACAAUAUCAACACAC
rnacentral:lncRNA from 1 species